GACCGGCGCGAUUGACUGUGGCUGCCACCUCUAAAGCAGGGACUCCCGGAGUAGCCAGGGAUAUCGGACCGUCCGUAGAGGGUGUUUCGGGAAGCUGCGCCGAAGUUACAGCCCUCGUCGUGUCGGCUCGCCGCGACGCAGCUCUAUCCUUCGAAGCGGCGACAUCGUGGAUGCCUUUUCGGGCGGCUGACGGAAUAGUUUCCUGCACAUCUUUAAAGAAAAAGGCAAGGAUUACACAUCUCACCCAGACAAUGAGCUGCCUACUUGUGUAUUUCCGAAUGCUUCCUGAUCUUGACACGUCAUUCCAUUUCGGGGUGCUUUGAUUCGAAAUUGGAAACGUCUCUGUCAUGGGCAGUUCCAGAGUGACAUAGUAAAGCAACCGUGCUGGCUACGUAGCAAGCUA